rnacentral:rRNA from 1 species
GACGAACGCUGGCGGUGCGCCUAACACAUGCAAGUCGAACGGUGAAGCGGGCUUCGGCCCGUGGAUCAGUGGCGAACGGGUGCGUAACACGUGGGCAACCUGCCCCUCACUCUGGGAUAACUCCGGGAAACCGGGGCUAAUACCGGAUACUCCGGCCGAACCGCAUGGCUCAGCCGGGAAAGGUCCGCUGGUGAGGGAUGGGCCCGCGGCCUAUCAGCUUGUUGGUUGGGUAACGGCCUACCAAGGCGACGACGGGUAGCUGGUCUGAGAGGACGACCAGCCACACUGGGACUGAGAUACGGCCCAGACUCCUACGGGAGGCAGCAGUGGGGGAUCUUGCGCAAUGGGCGAAAGCCUGACGCAGCGACACCGCGUGAGGGACGAAGGCCCUCGGGUUGUAAACCUCUUUCGGCAGGGACGAAGCGAUCGUGACGGUACCUGCAGAAGAAGCUCCGGCUAACUACGUGCCAGCCGCCGCCGUAACAC